rnacentral:rRNA from 1 species
AUGGCUCAGAUUGAACGCUGGCGGCAGGCCUAACACAUGCAAGUCGAGCGGAUGACGGGAGCUUGCUCCCUGAUUCAGCGGCGGACGGGUGAGUAAUGCCUAGGAAUCUGCCUGGUAGUGGGGGACAACGUCUCGAAAGGGACGCUAAUACCGCAUACGUCCUACGGGAGAAAGCAGGGGACCUUCGGGCCUUGCGCUAUCAGAUGAGCCUAGGUCGGAUUAGCUAGUUGGUGAGGUAAUGGCUCACCAAGGCGACGAUCCGUAACUGGUCUGAGAGGAUGAUCAGUCACACUGGAACUGAGACACGGUCCAGACUCCUACGGGAGGCAGCAGUGGGGAAUAUUGGACAAUGGGCGAAAGCCUGAUCCAGCCAUGCCGCGUGUGUGAAGAAGGUCUUCGGAUUGUAAAGCACUUUAAGUUGGGAGGAAGGGUUGUAGAUUAAUACUCUGCAAUUUUGACGUUACCGACAGAAUAAGCACCGGCUAACUCUGUGCCAGCAGCCGCGGUAAUACAGAGGGUGCAAGCGUUAAUCGGAAUUACUGGGCGUAAAGCGCGCGUAGGUGGUUUGUUAAGUUGGAUGUGAAAGCCCCGGGCUCAACCUGGGAACUGCAUUCAAAACUGACAAGCUAGAGUAUGGUAGAGGGUGGUGGAAUUUCCUGUGUAGCGGUGAAAUGCGUAGAUAUAGGAAGGAACACCAGUGGCGAAGGCGACCACCUGGACUGAUACUGA